GCCUGGAUAGCUCAGUUGGUUAGAGCGUGGUGCCAAUGAAACCAAGGUUGCAGGUUCGAGACAGCUGACCGUUCCUGCAUUGCAGGGGGUUGGACU